rnacentral:rRNA from 1 species
UACAGAGGUCUCAAGCGUUGUUCGGAUUCAUUGGGCGUAAAGGGUGCGUAGGUGGUGAUGCAAGUCUGGUGUGAAAUCUCGGAGCUCAACUCCGAAAUUGCACCGGAUACUGCGUGACUCGAGGACUGUAGAGGAGAUCGGAAUUCACGGUGUAGCAGUGAAAUGCGUAGAUAUCGUGAGGAAGACCAGUUGCGAAGGCGGAUCUCUGGGCAGUUCCUGACACUGAGGCACGAAGGGCCAGGGGAGCAAACGGGG